rnacentral:rRNA from 1 species
UGGGGAAUUUUGGACAAUGGGGGCAACCCUGAUCCAGCGACGCCGCGUGAAGGAUGAAGGCCUUCGGGUUGUAAACUUCUUUUAGAGGGGAUGAAUGGACUGGUGAAUAGCCAGUCGUGACAGUACUCUCGGAAUAAGCCACGGCUAACUACGUGCCAGCAGCCGCGGUAAUACGUAGGUGGCAAGCGAUACUCGGAAUCACUAGGCGUAAAGCGCAGGUAGGCGGUUGGAUAAGUUUUUUGUGAAAGCUCCCGGCUUAACUGGGAGAGGCCAAGAAAUACUGUCUGACUCGAGUGUGGUAGGGGAAACUGGAAUUCCUGGUGUAGCGGUGAAAUGCGUAGAUAUCAGGAGGAAUACCUAUGGCGAAAGCAAGUUUCUGGGCCAUCACUGACGCUGAGCUGCGAAAGCUAGGGGAGCAAACAGGAUUAGAUACCCUGGUAGUCCUAGCCCUAAACGAUGUUCAUUAGAUGUGGGAGGUAUCGACCCCUUCCGCGUCGGCGCUAACGCAUUAAAUGAACCGCCUGGGGAGUACGGCCGCAAGGUUGA